rnacentral:rRNA from 1 species
CCUACGGGUGGCAGCAGUGAGGAAUAUUGGUCAAUGGACGAGAGUCUGAACCAGCCAAGUAGCGUGAAGGAUGACUGCCCUAUGGGUUGUAAACUUCUUUUAUAUGGGAAUAAAAUGAUCCACGUGUGGGAUUUUGUAGGUACCAUAUGAAUAAGGAUCGGCUAACUCAGUGCCAGCAGCCGCGGUAAUACGGAGGAUCCGAGCGUUAUCCGGAUUUAUUGGGUUUAAAGGGAGCGUAGGUGGAUUGUUAAGUCAGUUGUGAAAGUUUGCGGCUCAACCGUAAAAUUGCAGUUGAAACUGGCAGUCUUGAGUACAGUAGAGGUGGGCGGAAUUCGUGGUGUAGCGGUGAAAUGCUUAGAUAUCACGAAGAACUCCGAUUGCGAAGGCAGUUCACUGGACUGCAACUGACACUGAGGCUCGAAAGUGUGGGUAUCAAACAGGAUUAGAUACCCUUGUAGUC